rnacentral:rRNA from 1 species
UACGUAGGCAGCAAGCGUUGUUCGGAGUUACUGGGCGUAAAGGGUGCGUAGGUGGCUCUAUAAGUAUGGUGUGAAAUCUCCCGGCUUAACUGGGAGGGUGCGCCGUAGACUGUGGGGCUAGAGUGUGGGAGAGGAAAGUGGAAUUCCUGGUGUAGCGGUGAAAUGCGUAGAUAUCAGGAGGAACACCGGUGGUGUAAACGGCUUUCUGGACCAUAACUGACACUGAGGCACGAAAGCGUGGGGAGCAAAAGGG